rnacentral:rRNA from 1 species
CCUACGGGUGGCAGCAGUGAGGAAUAUUGGUCAAUGGGCGCAAGCCUGAACCAGCCAAGUCGCGUGAGGGAUGACGGUCCUAUGGAGUGUAAACCUCUUUUGUCGGGGAGCAAGGCCCGCCACGUGUGGCGGGAAGGAGAGUACCCGAAGAAAAAGCAGAGGCUAACUCCGGGCCAGCAGCCGCGGUAAUACGGAGGAUGCGAGCGUUAUCCGGAUGUAUUGGGUUUAAAGGGUGCGUAGGCGGAAGGUUAAGUCAGCGGUCAAAUGUCGGUGCUCAACCCCGGCCGGCCGUUGAAACUGGUCUUCUUGCGUGCGCGCGCAGUAUGCGGCAUGCGUGGUGUAGCGGU